rnacentral:rRNA from 1 species
UACGUAGGGGGCAAGCGUUGUCCGGAUUUAUUGGGCGUAAAGCGCGUGUAGGUGGCCAAGUAGGUCCGCUGUGAAACGUUGAGGCUCAACCUCAAGCUGUCGGUGGAAACCCCUUGGCUAGAGUCCGGAAGAGGAGAGUGGAAUUCCUGGUGUAGCGGUGAAAUGCGCAGAUAUCAGGAAGAACACCCGUGGCGAAGGCGGCUCUCUGGACGGUACUGGACGCUGAGACGCGAAAGCGUGGGGAGCGAACAGG